UAACCCAGGAUUGCUUGGUGCAUGAAAUAA
rnacentral:piRNA from 1 species